GUACAAAAACCUGUGUGAGUGUGACUGCUGCAGCUGGGACCUACUGCAGGUGCUGAGGGGGACGAUGUGAUACAGCACAAUCACACACACACACACACACACACACACACACACACACACACAAUCACACACACACACACACACACACACACACACACUCACAUGUCCACUGCAGGAUAAAUUUGAUGAAGGUGAAUUUACAGUAAGUUUAUAUUAUUGAGCUGGCUUUGCUGAAUCAUACAGCUGUGUAUCAUCAGCCUAGCAGUGGAAGCUAACAGCAUGUUAAUGGAUCAUUUUACCCAGAGGUAGCAUGUACAGGGAAAAGCAGUGGGUGUAGAACAGAGCUGUCUCAGUACUGUGAUGAGGCCUAAAUACUGACUGAGACAUUUCAUGUAUGUGAUGUAUAAUAUAGUUUGUAUAUUAUGUAAGCCAUAGAAAAUCACUAAUUGGAUGUGAGAGGUAUAGGUCAAAGGUCAUAAUCAUUAUAAUUAAAUAUAAUGGCAGGUCAAAGGGUCAUCAUAAUCACUUAUAAUUACGUUAAAUCCGGUUCCGAUGUAUUCCAGAUGUAUUCCAGACACACGCACACACAAGUUGUUUCCUUUCCCAUAGAUUGUGAUACGCUCAUGAGUUAGGCCUAGGUCAAAAAGGUCAAUGAUAAUUAUUGCUGCAUGUUCAUAGCUAUAGCUUUCACAUGCGUAUAACCCCCGCCCCUCCCUGCUUAGGUUGUUUUCAUGAGUUAGGCCUAGGUCAAAAAGGUCAAUGAUAAUUAUUGCUGCAUGUUCAUAGCUAUAGCUUUCACACGCGUAUAACCCCCGCCCCUCCCUGCUUAGGUUGUUUUCAUGAGUUAGGCCUAGGUCAAAAAGGUCAAUGAUAAUUAUUGCUGCAUGUUCAUAGCUAUAGCUUUCACACGCGUAUAACCCCCGCCCCUCCCUGCUUAGGUUGUUUUCAUGAGUUAGGCCUAGGUCAAAAAGGUCAAUGAUAAUUAUUGCUGCAUGUUCAUAGCUAUAGCUUUCACACGCGUAUAACCCCCGCCC